rnacentral:rRNA from 1 species
UACGAAGGGGGCUAGCGUUGCUCGGAAUUACUGGGCGUAAAGGGCGCGUAGGCGGAUAUUUAAGUUGGGGGUGAAAUCCCGGGGCUCAACCUCGGAAUUGCCUUCAAAACUGGAUAUCUUGAGUUCGGGAGAGGUGAGUGGAACUCCGAGUGUAGAGGUGAAAUUCGUAGAUAUUCGGAAGAACACCAGUGGCGAAGGCGACUCACUGGGACGGUACUGACGCUGAGACGCGAAAGCGUGGGGAGCGAACAGG